rnacentral:rRNA from 1 species
AUUGAACGCUGGCGGCAGGCCUAACACAUGCAAGUCGAACGGUAACAGGAAACAGCUUGCUGUUUCGCUGACGAGUGGCGGACGGGUGAGUAAUGUCUGGGAAACUGCCUGAUGGAGGGGGAUAACUACUGGAAACGGUAGCUAAUACCGCAUAACGUCGCAAGACCAAAGAGGGGGACCUUCGGGCCUCUUGCCAUCGGAUGUGCCCAGAUGGGAUUAGCUAGUAGGUGGGGUAACGGCUCACCUAGGCGACGAUCCCUAGCUGGUCUGAGAGGAUGACCGGCCACACUGGAACUGAGACACGGUCCAGACUCCUACGGGAGGCAGCAGUGGGGAAUAUUGCACAAUGGGCGAAAGCCUGAUGCAGCCAUGCCGCGUGUAUGAAGAAGGCCUUCGGGUUGUAAAGUACUUUCAGCGGGGAGGAAGGGAGUAGAGUUAAUACCUUUGCUCAUUGACGUUACCCGCAGAAGAAGCACCGGCUAACUCCGUG